GCUUAUCAGCAUUCCAGAUUGAAUAUACCCGAUCUCGUCUGAUCUCGGAAGUCAAGCAAUCUCGGGCUUGGUUAGUACUUGGAUGGGUGACCGCUUGGGACUACCAAGUGUGAUAAGCA
rfam:Ciona savignyi cont_37907, whole genome shotgun sequence.